UACGUAGGGGGCAAGCGUUGUCCGGAUUCAUUGGGCGUAAAGAGCGUGUAGGCGGCCAGGUAGGUCCGUUGUGAAAACUCGAGGCUCAACCUCGAGACGUCGAUGGAAACCAUCUGGCUAGAGUCCGGAAGAGGCGAGUGGAAUUCCCGGUGUAGCGGUGAAAUGCGCAGAUAUCGGGAGGAACACCAAUGGCGAAGGCAGCUCGCUGGGACGGUACUGACGCUGAGACGCGAAAGCGUGGGGAGCAAACAGG
rnacentral:rRNA from 1 species